GCCAGGUGCAGUAGCAAGUGCCUGUAAUCCCAGCUACUUGGGAGGCUAAGGUGGGAGGAUUGCUUUACCCAGGAAUUUUAGACUAGCCUGGGCAACAACAUAGUUAAAUGUGGCCUAUA
rnacentral:sRNA from 1 species